ensembl:lncRNA
GAGUUUCAGACACGUCUUGAGGGCUGGGACGCCAGGAGUACACUGGCAUCUUUUGAGAAAGAACUCAUCCCAAGACAAAAGCUAGAUGGUCUUUGCCGAGAGUGAUGAGCACAAUCCUGGGGAGGGAAAGAGUAAGGACAGCUAGGGGAACACCUGGCGUUGACCACUCAGGUCAGCCUCUAGCCUGGCCCCUGAGGGCUUGCACCUCAGGAGACUCAGAGAAGGCUACUUGCCCAAGAGUCCCGGUGAGACCUGAGGAGCCCAAGGCCAGCGGCGUUGGAACUGACACAUGGCCCUGGACAGAGGCAGAUGUGUCCCCUCAGGGGAGGGUGCCACGCACCAUCUGUGGCAGUCGGUACCCACAUGGCCAACAUCCUACCCACCCCGUCCCUCCCUCGGCCCCUUGACAGGGCACGUUCUUGAGCUUUGGAGGCACCAGGGCAGCUGCUGCAGACGUCACCUCAAAGAGCUGGAGCUGAGAGACAAGGACUCAGCUUCUGAGCUCAGGCAGGACAUUUUCUGGAACAGCCCCAAAGGGAAAACCCAGGAGCCCUGCCCAGGGGCUGAGGCAGGCACAAAGCCCGAGAAAGAUGUUAGUUCCUGUUCACAUGACUGUUUUUCAGCCCAAGACUUGCAUGACUGGGGAGAUGGGGGUCCAAGAUGCUUGAAAAUCACCUGAGCUGGUAGCUCUGAAAGAUUGUGAAAAGGGGCAAAAGGGGCCCGCCGAGCACAGGGCAUUUUCUAUCAGCGCCAUCAGAAACUCCCUGGCAGGCGGGGCCUGUGGAAGAGGUGUGCCAGCUGUCCCAUCCUCUCAGAAGCCUGACAUGCAUGCCAGCCAGUGUUGACCCGCUCAGCCUGCUCUUUCUGGCAACAGAGUUAUAUUGUGCACAGUGAUUCUUUGUUCGCUUUUGGUUGAAAAACUGUAUUCCUCCCGGCCACUUUGAAGCCGGAAGAGCCGGACAAAAGGACUGAGAGCUGAUCCCGCCUGGGGGCCCAGCCUCCUGCCUCUCGGCCCCCCUGCUUUGUGCAAGUUCCAGCUCUUCCUCACCCUUUCUUCGGAGACUGUCCUCCCACCCAGAUCAACCGGACCUCAAGCGUCACACGUGUGUCCCCGCGCGGUGCCUGCCACGGAGCAGGUCCUCAGGAAAUGUUGGGUUCCUUUUCCUUUCUUUUCCUUUUUUCUUUGGUUCCCCUUGCUGCCGACCUCCCCCUUGGGUUCUGCCUCCUGGGCUUUACUGGUAGCAAAGAACAAAGAUGCAGUCAAGUCACUUCAGGAAAAAGGGGUUUUAUUGGCAAGCAAGACGUGAAUGGGAAAGGAAACAGAAACUCCGAGGGUCUGGGGUCACCACAUCUGUGUCCCCUCUCCCAAAGGCCCCAGAGUCUCCCGUCCCUCCCUCCUCCAUCUGUCCAGCCUCCUCCUCAGUUCUGCUCACACUUGGCCACCCACCUCAUGAGCUUUCACUUUGGUCCUCUGCUCGCUCGGUUUCUGUGAUCCCCAACUGGAAUUUUCCAAGGCAGGAACUGAUGAGUCCACCUUUUCAGGGCACGGAUGCUGGCGGGGCAGCCCUGUGGGUCAGCUGCAGAGGCGGGUGGCCAUGUGGGACAGAGCAGGGCGGCCACCCUGUGCCUCAGUAGUGUACUGACUCCUCUGCUCUGGCCCUGUGGAUGAGACGUGGCCCCACCACAUUCACAGUGACAUCAGAACCAGCGCCCCUUAUCCAGAACCUUCUCAGGGGCAUUUUGAGCCUCAGAGAAGCCCGUGGCCUCAGCUGCUGGGAGAGUCCGUGGACAGGCCAGGCCAGAGGUUAGGUGCAGUUCAGCAGGGAGGCUGGGUGGGGGAGUGCCAGAGACACUGGCACUGAGCUGGCACUUGUCCCCUUUCUCCUCACUGUCCCUUCUCCCUGAGAUGCAGAGUGAGGAGCUGAGAACGGCCUCACUGGCCUCUCCAAGGUCAGACUGGCCUUCCUUUCUCAGGGGAGAGUAGUUAUUGACCACUUGUGGGGUUAGAAAAACUGCUUCUGAUUUUCCCUGGGCCCGUCAUGGCACGAAAGGUCCCCAGAGGCCAGGAAAUGGUUUGGGCCACCUGACACUAACGUCAGAGAACGCCAAAAAUGCGCCACGGAGGUGGCAAGUGCAGGAAGCGAGGCAACAAAGGGAAGCGUUUGGAAUUACUAAAAGUUAGAAAUAGGAGAGCGCCCUGCAUGGGCUGGGACCCAGAUAUCUGAGGUGGGGCACCUCCCAGCUGGCACUGACAUCUCAGGGGUUGGCGGGGGGCGAUCAAGUUGGUUCUACGUGUUGGGAACCUGUAAAUUGGACUUAGCUGCUGCCCUGGGAAGGAAGCACUGCUGCUGGGGUGAGGAUGCCCUACGGAGCCGCUCCCAGGAGCACAAGGGAAGCAGGAAGGAGCGGGUCUCUCCCCUCCAGCUUUCUCGUCCUCUUCUAGCACCUCCUACUGGCAGACUCCAACAGGGAGCAGCCGGCCGCACAGAAGGGACACGAGAAGACUAGCGCACCCAUGAGCGGGAGCUGGAGC